rnacentral:rRNA from 1 species
GACGAACGCUGGCGGCGUGCUUAACACAUGCCAGUCGAACGGAAAGGCCCCUUUGGGGGUACUCGAGUGGCGAACGGGUGCGUAACACGUGAGUAACCUGCCCUUGACUUCGGGAUAACUUCAGGAAACUGGGGCUAAUACCGGAUAGGAAUCCUUGCUGCAUGGUGGGGGUUGGAAAGCUUCGGCGGUUUUGGAUGGACUCGCGGCUUAUCAGCUUGUUGGUGGGGUAGUGGCUUACCAAGGCUUUGACGGGUAGCCGGCCUGAGAGGGCGACCGGCCACAUUGGGACUGAGAUACGGCCCAGACGCCUACGGGAGGCAGCAGUGGGGAAUAUUGCACAAUGGGCGGAAGCCUGAUGCAGCAACGCCGCGUGCGGGAUGACGGCCUUCGGGUUGUAAACCGCUUUCAGCAGGGGCGAAGCUUGUGGUGACGGUACCUGCAGAAGAAGCACCGGCUAACUACGUG